CCUCUCACUAAAAUAACCGGUUAAUUGCCCCAUAGUGCAACCAGAAAUUUUUGUUAAAUUUUUUAUGAAUUUCUUCUAUUGACAAUUCAAACCGAAACUCUUGAAUACAUUAGAUCGUUCACCUCUUCUUUACGCACAUCCUUAAGCAUUUGGCAAUGUAUACAUACUUCUGGCGUAAUUAAGAUAUUGCUCUUGUAGAGUUCACCGGUCAAAUAACUGAGACUAUUCCAAAACAAAAUUACAUGUACAUUUUCUGUUAAGCCUCCUGGAAAAGACUUUAACCAAUAUAUUCGGUAGCCGUAAAGUAUAAAUCGUGUAGAGCUACCAAAAAUUUCAAUGAACAUCUAUUAACAAAAUAAUUAAUUGUAUUAUUUGAUCAAUUUUAUUAAGUAAUUUUUAAAAUACUUAACCAUAUUUUACAGCUAAACAAUAUUUUUGUAAGUUGAUAAAUCUACAAUAGGAACAUUACUUUAUCCCUAAAAAAGUUACAUAUACUUGCAUGUAUAAAAAAGAUUUAUGUCCACGAAAUUCAUUGAAAGUUUCAGCACGUCGGAAAAGAUUCAAUUAUUACAACAAGCAGGGGAAAGAUACAUAAAUAACAUUAACUCCAUGAAUUGCAUCAAAUGUGGUGUACUUUUCUAAAAUUCAAUGAACAAAAAAUGAAUAAAAAGAGGGAGUUUUGGUAAUUAAUAGCAAAUAAUAUGCACAUUCCAACACAAGCACUCCAUUUGGGAACGGAUAGGAUCUCAAACGCUCAAUUUGCUCAUUACGGACGUAAUGCUCUAACAGUCGUGUAAUAAAACAGACGCUUGAGUCGUCAAGAUACCGUUUUAAGGGGUAUUCUAGUCUAGAAGCAUGAAUUUCAGGAAAUAUAAAAAAUUUCGAAAAUUAGCUGCUGAGAAAGUGGGGGAUCUCAAAAAAUGUGCACGUGACCAUAUGUACGAUUUCAACCCACUUAGCAAUCUGAAAAAAA